rnacentral:rRNA from 1 species
CCAGCAACUUGGGGGAAUGUAUAGCGAAAGCUAGCUGCAUUAGCUUAGCGAAGGCUAAAGCGGUGCAGGAUUGUUUUUUCAAAUAAAGUUCCGGGUAGGUUAUGACGAUGACAUUUCCUAUCUGUGUGUCUUGACCAAAUUACGUGCCAGCAGUCGCGGUAAUACGUAGAAGACUAGUGUUAUUCAUCUUUAAUAGGUUUAAAGGGUACCUAGACGGUAAAUCAAGUCCAAGAAGGAUACUAAUUUGACUAGAGUUAAAUGUGAGGGGGCUAUAAAGUACUGAUUAGUGUAGAGAUGAAAUUCUGUCAUACAAUGUAAGGCACUGGCAAAGGCGAAGGCAUCUCCUUAUGUAAUAACUGACGUUGAGGGACGAAGGCUAUGUAUAGCAAAUAGGAUUAGAUACCCUAGUAGUCGUAGCAGUAAAUUAUGAAUGUCAUAGGAUGGAAACUUUACAUUUUUUUCAUCUAUUCUUUUUUCUUUUUUUUUUAUUAGAAUUAGCAAAAGAUAUAGAGAUGAAAUCAAUCUAAAGAAACUUUUUUCUAUAAAUGAUAGUGUAAGCAUUCCACCUCAAGAGUAAUUUGGCAACAUUGGAACUGAAAUCAUUAGACCGUUUCUGAAACAAGUAGUGAAGUAUGUUGUUUAAUUUGAUAAUCCGCAAAACACCUUACCACAGUUUGAAUAGAAACUUUUUUUAUACAAGUGCUGCACGGUUGUCUUCAGUUAAUGUCGUGAGAUCUUGGUUAGUUCCAUUAAAUUAACGUAAACCCUAGCUUUAUUUUUAUAUAGAGUUGUUCCCCACUAGAUUGGAUAAGAUAACAGGGACUAAGACAAAUCAUCAUGG